UGGAUGAAGGCAGUGACCAAGAUGCCUAUGCUGGAAAACGUGUUAAUGGCAAAAGUCAAAAAAAAAGCCGGGCGAAGCCAAACUUGAAGAUGCCUCCUGCAAAAGUAACGCAACGCAAAAGCUCAACUCCAUCUCCUGCCACCUUGAAUGUAGUGAGAAAGCAACAAUGGACUCCUAAAGAAGAAGUUUACGAGGAAGAAGAUAGUGAAGAAACUGAGGAAGAUCGUGACAAUGUUGAGGAUGGAUUUAGGUACGGGGAAAAUAAUGAAGAUGAUGAUGAGGAGACUGAGUACGAAGACUGAAGCAUAUAAAAAUGUUUCCUUCACCCUUCUGGUAAGGGCACCUUGUAUGUAUCUAACCCUUACAAACAGGUUCUCUGUCAUCUUUUAUCUGCUUGCUUUCAGCAUCUUUUUUUCUCUCAUUGCAGCAUAUAAAUAAAUUUAAAAAUUUUUAAUUUUAAAAUAUUGGUGAUUCGCUAAAGAAUUUCAUACGACGAAUUUGUGAUUUUUUCAUCUUGGGAUAAACACAAAGCUGAUGCAAUCAACUCAUCAUGCCAAAAUUUAUGCACCUGAGCCGCAUAAGAUACUUGACUGGUAAGCUUGACAAAAUUUCAAUCGUUAUAUCAUCAGAACAUAAAUGAUUUGAAAGAGAGGGGAGACCACAACAUGAAUAAGUUAAUUAGUUAGUGUCAUAAAGAGGGAUUUGGAUUCAUUAAUUGUUGACUUUUGUGCUGGCUCUAACAAAGCUUUGAUCAUAAAUUGGCAAUCCAUUUGGAAAUAAUUUUCAACCCCCAAUCUAUAGCCCAUCAAUCACCCACUUGUAAUUUCCCAGGCAUGUAGAGCGUAAACCAUUUUACGAGGCAAUGCAUGUAGAACUUAAAAGGGAUAGAAAUUUCACCCACUACACACUAAUCCUUGAUCCCAAAUCUACUUGUAUUAAUGUUUAUAAUUAAUUUCUUCUAUUUAAUACUAGUUAAUAAGGCUACAUAGGUAAGUGCAAUAAGGUUUCGUGCAUUGGAACCCAUGGUUAUCGACCUGAAUCCAUUAGUAUGGAUCAUUUUCUUUUCCAAUUGAAAUCCAUUAGUAUAUGGAAGAGUGAAAAAGUACUUUCGUUGUUUUGGAAUAAGAAGUCUUCGUAUCUUAAUGCAUGUAUUUAAUGUAUUCGGGACUAUUAGAACUUAUUACUCAAACUUAAGUUAUUGUAAUUGCAAUAAAUAUUCAUGGCUGGUUGAGCUACACACAAGAGGCUCUUUAUCCUCUCAUUAUAUUGUCACUAGACUCUCUUUGUAAAUAAAAACAUCAUCCGGAUCGGUAAUUUAGAGAUCCCUAAUUUCUUAUGUAUGAAUUCAACAUAUAUAGAUUCUUAAAUAAAUGCGCCAUUCUUCCACAAUCCCUAAUGUCUAGGAAUACUGAAGAAAGGUCCAAUACUAAAUAGCGAUCCACUUGACGAUCAUAUAUUUCUCCAACUAUUUCUUCUGAAUGUGUACACUUGAUCAUUCGACAGCUUACCGUACUUUGUUUUUUCUCAUCCCACGAGUCUUGUACCAAUAAUCAACUUAAAAGUCAUUGUAUAAUAUGCAAAAUAAACCAUCAUAUUAGUCCACGAAAUUGUCAAAACGUCUUAUAAUUUGGCUUUCAAUAUCUUCAUAUGAUAAAUUAACUUGUAAGCGUUUCAUCCUGGAAUAAAUACGAAGCUGAUGCAAUAAUUUCCUUACCAAAUUCCACAGAAUCAACGAAUGCAUUAAUAAAAAGACGAGUUUCAGCAUUGUUGUUCUGGAGAUGUGAGAUUCGAAUCCCCGCACAUGAGUAGCCUGGGAAUUGGAUUGCCGUUACCUAAAUUAACCCAAAAAAAAAGCUUAAUUUAUUCUUAUUUGAAUUCUUUUUCUAUCAAUUUAAAUCACAUAAGUAGAUAUUUUGACCGAGUGUUUUUCAAUUAAUAUGAUUUGGUUGGCUAUUCGAGUUCGAUUAUAGGAGAGGUAAGGAGCUAAAAUUUUAAUUUGAACUCAGCUACCCCUCUAUCUUUUUAAAAAUACAAAAAUAAAUUUAACAAUCGUUUAAAUUUACAUAAUUUAAUUAUCUUUUGUUUCUUUGCCGUAUCAGCUGCUUAAGCAAGCAUAAGUGCAGGUGGUCAACAGUGAACAGUAACACGGUUUGCACACGGCGAAUAGUAACAUGGUUUGAACAGUAACGGUUUGAAUAGUAAUGUGGUUUGAACAAUAACGUGGUUUAAACAGUAACACAAUUUGAACAAUGUUAUACGUUUGGUUAUAAAUAGCGAGGAGAGGUUAGAGCUUGAAUCAUCCCAAUUUUGAGAGCAAUUGCAAGUGAAACAAUUUGAGAGUUUUGAGAGAGUUUUUACUUGAGUGUUAGGAAGAUUCAAUUAGGUGUAUUGGGGUUGUGGGUAUUGACAAUUUUUUCCCACUUUCGUAAAAUUCUAUUAUUAGUCAAAUUAUCUUCCGGUCUUUAUCCGUGGACAUAGGGAUUACACCGAACCACGUAAAUUAUUGUGUCAUUUUCUUUGCAUUUGUUUACAUAAUAUUUAUAUUUCUCUAGAAAUUACAGUUUCCGUAAUAUUGGUAAUUGCUCAACCCUGCACUUCUGCAACAAGUCAAACAUUCCUAGAAAUAAAAUAUUAAAUUAAAUUGAGGGAAAAAAUAAUUUACAGUGAUUUAUUCUUGUUAUUUCAUCAUCCAUCCAACUGUGGACAACUCAAGGACUCGGCAACAAAGUUGUUGUAUUACCUACGGUCUACCCAAGAAGAAAGCCCUCGUUUAGCGCUGCAAAACAAAAAUUCUGUAUUUUAAGAAAAGGUGAAAAAACAGAUGGUAAGUGGAUAAUUUUUUUUUAAUUAAUUAAAAUUUUUUAAAAACAUUGACGCAUUAAAUUAUGCCACUUGUCAAUAUUUUAAAGCAUGAAACUUUUGCUAAAAGUAAUGUACCAUGUAUCAUAAUAUAAUACCUUUUAUUUACAUCGAAACAGACCAUAAACACUAAGAGAAUGUAGGAAUGGUAGGAAAGCACGAGCUUAUGGACUGAGUACAAAUUAAAAAGUUUAAAUUAUUAAAGGACAAAUUAAUUUUCAACAUUUUAAAAACUGAUAACAAAUUAACAUCCGAACGACCCAACACAUUGCUACAGAGCCCAAAUAAUUUUUCUACGGCACCUAGACAGUGAACUCGGCCUAGCAAUGCACGAAACAAAAUUUGUAGCUUGAACAUCAACACAGAGUGUCACCUCCAUUAGGAGAGAACGGUUCAAGCAUUUAAAAAGUGGCGUAGUGCCGUAUCUGGGGUUUAUCGCUCGAGUAUAUUUCCGUGGAUUGAGUUUGUCUCCAUCUGGAUUUAUGCCUGCAUCUCGAAAUGCGGCCUCCAAGUUCGCAGCUUUAACCAGUGUGAUAGCAGUUCGAAAAUAUUCCUCGGGCGGCAGGUUAGGCUGGCCUCUGCCGUGAUGCUUCCACUCCCUCUUCCAAAACUGUUCAUUUUCAUUUCGGGUAAGACUUGGCCAGAACUUGUUCAUCUCGGCAGCAAAAGAUUUAUUGCUUUCUAGCUACAAAGAAAGAGUAAAAAUUAAUUAAUAAAUGACCGUAGAAUAAUGUAUAGGAAAAACUAUAUAUAUAGCCCAUGGGAGUGAAGCAGGUACCAUGGCUGGUACAUUAAUAGUUUGAUUAUUGGUAUUUGUCGAGGACCUGCCGGAAGAAUUUACUGGCCAGAGGCCGUGUAGGACGAAUUUUGAUGGCUUUAUUCUGCAGGGCUCUGGCCUAUGAACCUGGCAGUACACAGGUGGCCACGUCUGGACUAGAAAAUAUUGACGAAAAUCUUGUGCACCACCGGAGGCGAAUGCGAUGCAGGAAACAGAGAAAACAAAGAAGAUGAACGAGAAACUUCUCUUCAUUUUGAUUAACAUUAAUUUGACAAUACUAAAAUGCAUGAGAGUAUAACUGACACAUAAAUAGAUAAUAUUAAGCAGUGGUAUGAUAAAAGGAAGAUGGGUGCAUGUACAAACUAAUUAAUGUCAUCAUAAAUAAUUUUAAUAAGGACCAUCCCCCCCUGCUUAAUUUGUUUUCUUUUUGUUUUGGGAUAAAUUGGUAAUUUUCACUUCAUUCCUUGACAGCUGUUGACCUAUUUUUUUUUCCCUCCCUAAACAAACUAAUUCCAUUGUAAAAACUGAAUCCUAAAAAUCAUCUGAAACACACAACUCCAAUUAUCAUUCGGACCAUAGAAUUUUCUCUUAUUUUGAGCAUCUCUUCCCAUAAUUAACUUGUGGUUCCCCUCUAUCGCAUUCUUCUAUUAUAAAGCAUUUUAGAUGUUACAUUAUAGAAUCAAAAUUACUGAUUAUAUUUACAAUCAGGAAGAGAUAAUAAUGUUGACAACCAAUAUCAAUUCUUUUCCCGAAGAUAUAACGAUUGAAAUUCUGUCAAGAUUGCCAGCUAAAUUUGUUUUGCGAUUCAGGUGCGUUUGCAAGUCCUGGCUUGAGUUAACUAAGAAACCUUCUUUCAUUUCCAAGCAUUUCCAAAACAAUAGUACAAGAACUCGUCUUUUCGUUGAUGCAUCUGUUACUUCUGCGGUAGUUGGUAUGGGAAUCGUUACAUCAGCUUUGUACUUAUUCCAUGAUGAAAAACUUGCAAAUUUAUCAUAUGAAGACAUUAAACCCCAAAUUCAUGAUAAAUUUGUGGGCUAUCAUGAUGGUUUAUUUUGCAUAAUGCAGAGUUCAACGAAUCGUCUAACUAUAUGGAAUCCAGCAACAAGAGAAUUUAGAAACCUUCCAAAUUAUAAAUAUUGUAAUUCUUCCAACCGUUUAAUACCUCCUAGUACUUUCAUCUGUCUUGAAUCUGAUCCCAUAAAUAAUGACUUUAAAUUGCUUUUCGUACACAACUUAUGGAAUGAGAAAAGGAAAAGGUAUGGUAAGGUGCCUAAUGUUCAAGUGUACGGAUUCAGAACAAAUAGUUGGAGAGAAGUACAUGGUCAUCAAUUGGAUCGUUAUUUUGUAUUAAACGGAGGUCAAUUUGGUACGUCCACAUACUUGAAGAAAGUUUGUUAUUGGUUGGUAAUCGCGGAUACUCGAGACCUAAAAGUGAUUCUUUCAUUUCACAUGGAUAAUGAGGUGUUUGAAGAAAUAAAAAUACCUCCACAUGUAAAUUAUUACUCGUCUAUAAGUUUAUAUGAAGACUCUCUCUCGAUUGUAAUUCCAGACGCAGAGCAGUGUUUUGAGAUAUGGGUGAUGAAUGACAAUAAGUGUUGGGCAAAACAUUUAACCCUUGGACCUUUCUUCAAUUUUCGAAUAAAUUUUGGAUUCUGGAAGAAUGAUGCUUUUUUUUUAGAAUCAAAUUCUAGGAUUUAUGGUGGUUGCCUUUUUUUACAUGAACAUCGUACGAAGGAAAUUAAGAAUCUCCAAGUCACAGAUCCACAAUUUGUUGUCAUCUACAAAGAGAGUCUAAUGACUAUACAAUGAGAGGAAAAAUAUUGUAAGAUAAAUUGACCUAUAUUUCAUAUUUUCACAGAAUUUCUUAUUUUAUUUUUUUUGUUCAUCAUGAUCAAGAGCGCGUGGUAGAAAAUAUACGUGGAUGAUUGGUGAUUGGUCGGCUUUACAAUACCAAGGCCUCUGGCAAACUAUAAAUUAGGAUUUUACUUACGUAUUAUUAAAGAAAAAUUGUUUGGGGGUAAUAUAUAUGUAUUAUGUAAGAAUUUGUUGUUUAAUGUUGUCUUCCUUGCUUCUUCGAAUGAGAAAUAGGAGUCAACUUUUAACUACCAAAAAUCAAUAAUCAUUUAUAGUAGGUGUAGUGCUAUAUAUCCCAAAAAUUUUAUUUCAAAAAGCUAUCCUAAAGGACGUGGCAUUGAUCAAUUUUUUUGGUGAGAAGUAUACAAUUAAUUCACUUGGAUCUUAUAAAGAAUUACCAACCAAUUAAUGAAUAACAUAUUAUUUGAGAUGUACUUUAGGAUAAAAAAAUUGAGAUAUCUAUCAUUACUCUUUAUAAUAGUCUUUCAUAUAAAAUUUUGUUGUUUCUUAAAAUAAAUUAAAAUCAUAAAAAAUAUUAUACAAAGGAAAAUUAGCAGCAACAAGGUCCAAACACUCCUAAAAUCGCGACAAUGCAAUCAAGGCUGCAGUACGAUCCUUAUAAUGAGAAUGUAUUGAGUCCUGUUUACAAUCAAAAUGAAUUACCUAAUGUCUCAAGCUAGGUCCACAUCUACAAUAUCGUUAAUCAACAACAAGUAUCUUGGAGAAUAACUUGGCUUUCACUCACACUUCAUCAAAGGGAUCUUUUCAUUUAGAGACCUAACAUUCACAAUUUCUUAUUGUUAAUAACUCCUAUUUCUCAUUUAGAGAAGCAGGAAAAACAACCUUUAAGCAAUAAAUUUUUACAUAACACACAUUACCAAAAACAAUUACUCUUUAAUAAUAAAUAAGUAAAAUCCUAAUUUACAGUUUGCCUAAGGCCUUGGUAUUACCAAUCAUCCACGUACAUUUUCCACUACGUACUCUCAAUCAUGAUGAACCAAAAAAAAAAAAAAAGAAAAAAAUUCGGUGGAAUUAUGAAAUUUAGGUCAAUUUAUCAUUCAGUGUUUUCCUCCAAUUGUCUAUUAAUUUUUGGAGAUGAAAACGUGUUUUGGUUCUAUGAUUUGGAGAUCCCUAAUCUCUUUCUUACUAUGUUCAUAUAAAAGAAGGCCACGUAGAAUAAGGCGACCAUGAUUAAACCUAUAUUCUAAAGAAAGCACAUCAUUCUUACAUAAUCCAUGAUAUGUGGGAGUAUUGCAGAAAAGUCCGAAGGUUAAAUGUUUUGCCCAAUACUUAAUGUCAUUCAUCACCCAUCCCUCAAAACAAUUAUGUGUAUCUGGAAUUACAAUUGACAAAGAGUCUUUAUAGAAACAAAGCUCGGUGUAAUCAUUUACUCGUGGAGGUAUUUGUAUUUUGUAUUUCUUGAAACACCUCAUCAUCCACGUGAAAUGAUAGAAUCACUGUUUGGUCUCGAGAAUGUGAGAUUACCAACCAAUAACAAACUGUCGUCAAGUACGCGUACUUGCCAAAUUCUCCAUUUAAUUAAAAAAUAACGAUCCAAAUAUUUACCUCCAACUACUCAUUCUCAAUGUGUACUCUUGACCAUUUGACACCUUACUAUACUUUUUUUUUUUGUUCUCAUGCCUUUAGUCGUGAACCAAAACCAACUUCAAGUCAUUUAUUAUGGGAUUAGAUUUAAAACUGUUAGGAUUGUAGUUGUAAUUGGAGUCAAUCUUGUAUUUAGCUGGCAUAAUAUUCUUGUAAUAUUCUCUUUUCUAUUCUUGGUAUGUAAAUAAGUUAGUUUAGGAAGGUUGAUUGAUUGUAGGAAGUCUAGCUUGAUUUAUGGAGAACAGUAUAGAUGUAAUCUUUUAUAUAUAUGUACAGGAUGGAAUGGCAGAGAAGCGAUUCUCACCACACCAAAAUUAGUUUGUUCAUGGUAUCAAUCAAAGGUGAGUGAUGAACAAGUGAGAAAUCAGAUUUCGCCAUAUUGCCCCCAAGUAAGUGAUAAUUGUUGAGUCUUAGAAAAUAUAUAUUUAUAAAGGAGAAAAUCGUCAUUUUACAUUUCAAGUCUUACUAACAUCCUUACUUUUAUGUAUUUACGCUUCUUGUGAUUUAAUUAUGUGUGUCUUAUUUUAAUUAAGUAUUUUAUGUAUUUUAGGGGCAUCAUGGUCAUUUCACAAUGAACGAGAGAUCAGACGGCAAAACAUACAUUACUUUUGAACUUAGGAUAGUCGAAAACCUAAAGAGCAGCAUAAAAGGAAAAAUGGCAUUGUUCACAUGUACGAUACUGUUCACGACACUGCUCACAUAGACGGAUCGAUGAUGUGGCAUUGACUGAUGAGGUGUCACGAUCCUGUUGGACUAAAAUUCUUAUGUACUGUUUAUCGGUGACGUGGCAGAAUGUUAGUGGACCAAAAAUUAUGCAUACGGUACAUGCAUAUACACAAGAUUAUUUUCAACCAAACUGCAUCACUGUUCAAACCGUGUCACUAUUCAAAUCGCGUGGUCAAACCGUGUCAUUGUUGAUAACUCUAGGAAAUGAGAAUUAUUACAUCUAUUCUAGACUUGAAUAAAGGCCAUUUAGAAAGCAAAUAAUGUAUUUUAAUUACAUUUUGGCGAAUUUUUGCAUAAAUAUUCAUUUUAGUUGAGUCUUAACAAGUUUUGCGUGAAUCAUAGUAAUUUGUGCUAAAAACAGGUUUUAAUUUGUAGGUUUUAAAUUCAUAAAAGGAUGCGAAGACAUUAGAUGAGAAAGAGGAGGAAAGAAGAUGACCACAAAAGAAGGAAAGCACAAUCGGAAAUGACAGAAGUGCCGUGGCGGAUGUUAGAGCAACCAAUGCUGCAGCAAUCUGGGAGAAACGCGGGAGAAAAUAUAGGCGCGGGUCUGCAAUUAAAUUACAAGCUGCAUGUUUCCUAAUUUAAACAUAGGCACGCGCAUGGGUGUUGGUUCGAAAAACCUAAUUUGCAAGUAUAUAAAGGAGGCAUUCACCACAAAGAAUGGCAGAGUGGAAUAAGCAUUCAAAAACAAUUACAAAGGCAAGAAGAAGAUCAAGAGUAAGGAGGGUUGUUCGGCAUCAUUGAAGAGGAGGAUCUUUAAACUUUCAUCGUGCUCCACUCACAUUAUCUUUCUUCCUUUGAUUUAUUGGAUGUAUUUUGCGAUCAGUAUAUUUAUGUUUAUUUUUCUCAUUCAGAACAUGAACUGAAUUUACUUGUAGUUGAUUGACAAAUAUCCACCCCUACUUAGCAUUUAGCAAUCAACGUUAUUUUGAGAAAAUAAUUGUUGUAAAAGUUUAGUUUUGAGACAAUAAGUCGUCCAUGUGCGUUUAUCAAUUGAGAAUCAGAAUUAAAAUAAGUUUUUUAUUUAACUUUUAGAAUUAGAGUUGGAAUAGGCUGUAUCCUCAUCAUUGGUAUGUCUACUUUGUCAAGGAUCAGAAUGAAUCGUUGCAAGUUAAUUACCAAAAUGUCUUUAGUUAAUUAUUAUCCUCAGUAUUAUAUCUAUUAUAACAGUAACAAUAACAAUGAUUAAAAAAAAUAGUAAUAACAACAACAAUAACAAUAAUAAUAUCUUAACCGGCUCAUAGGCUUUAGAUAAAACAAUUGUUUAAUGUUUUGUAGACAAACAACUAGUUGUACCUAAGAGAAAGAAGUAGAUGACAUGUCUUCCGAUACUUUCACAUAACUGACAUGUGUAAAUAAUAUGUGCCGGUGCAUAUGCUAGCUGACAUGUGGUUUAUUUUUUAAAAUGUAACCGACAUGUCAUAUAUUUCAUAUAUAAGACAAAGACAUGAUGUCUGUUUAUUUUCUUGACAAACAACACCUCAUCUUUAAUGUUGAAUUCCAAACGAUUUUAUUAAAAGUAAGAGAUUGUUUGUUUUUCAAUAGUUGCUUGAAUAAUAAUCCUUACAAUUGUAAUUGUAAAAAAAAAGAAUAAAAAAAUAUGAGUGAUCACAACCUUUAAGUUCUAAUUUUGAGUCCCAACUACUAUGGGUCACUCAUCUAAUAGAUCAUGAAUUUCAUAAUUUAUAAAUUACAUAUUUAUCAUCUAAUAGAUAUGUUACUCAAUUUUAAGGUAACUAUAAUAAGAAUUCCAAUUACAACUGUGACUAUUGAUUACAAUUAAAGUUGUAAUUACGAUUAUGUAUAAUUUUUUAUUAAAAUUAUAUAAAAUAUGCUAUUUUAAUUAGUUAACUGGUAAGUACUAAACCCAAAUAACCAUUUAAUAGAUUUUCAUAUUCAAAUUUAUUGAUUUCUUAAAUUAAAAAAAGAAAACUACAUAAUAUCAUAUGAAACAGAAAUCAAUGAUUGCCUUCUAUCUAUAAUGUUCUUCAAUUACAAAUGAACAACAUUAACUCAUUAAUCUUGCAUUUAGUCAUAAUCAAAUGGGAAUUAGAUUGAUGGGUGGGGCACACUUGAGCUAUUUGAAUUUCUUCUGCACUAUUUCAUUUAAAAACAUGUAUUUAUAAGCAAUAUUUUAAAAUUUUAAAAUCUUAAAAUUAACUCAAUUAUGUCAUUCUCUAAUUUAAGGUUGCAUUUUCUCCCUCAAAAUUGUCAGAUCCUACAAACUAAAUUUUCACUUUCACUCAAUGUUGGACAUUGAUUCUUAAUCUUUUUUAGUAAAUCAUAAUUACAUCUUCAGUUUGUUCCAAGGUUUUUAGUAAAUCCAAUUAUAUAUUACUUUUUCAUUUCAAAGAUAUCGAAGUAAAAAAAAUUAAAAAAAAGAUAUCAAGGCAAAAAUAAUUUUUUAUGGUGAAAACACUUGAAACUUUCAAUUUGUGAUGGCCUAUGUAGAAUAUGUGGAUCUGGAUUUGCCCAUUUAUGAGACACAAGCAUUAACAUUCGCUUGUAGGGGUGGCAAAAUGAAAAAUCGAAUCGAAUCGAAUUUUAAACGAAUUGGGUCAAAAUUUUGUGGAUUCGGAUUUGAUUUGUUUAUUAAACGAAUUAAAAUCUCAGGAUUCGAAUUAGAUUCGUUUAUUAAACGAUUAUUUAGUUUAAUUCAUUUAAUAGAUUAAUAAAAGAAUUGAAUCAAAUUCAAAUUCAUUUAUUAUUAAUUUAUCCUAAUAAUAAAUGAAUCCAUAACUAAUCGAAUUGAAUAUGAAUUUGUUUACAAAAGUUAAAUAAAUAAUCCAAACCAUAAAAGUUUUCAUCUUAUUUAUAUAUUGUGUUAUUAUUAUUUAUAAUUACUAGAUUAACCUUCAAAUUUUAAAUUUUUUUUAUAAAUAUUUAAGAAUAAAUAAGUAAUUUAAUUAAACGAAUAAAUUGUAUUCGGUUCGUUUAUAACCCAUUUAUUAAAUGAAUACUAAACGAAUAAACGAAUCAAUGUCUUCAAACCUGAAUUCAAUUCGUUUAAUUAACGAAUCGAACUGAAUUCACCAAUUUAUAAACGAAUCAAAAUUUUCAAACCCAAACGCGUUUAAUUCGCUUCAAAUUGAAUCGAAUAAACAAAUCUUGGUCCAAAUUGCCGCCCCUAGUCGCUUGCAAGAGAACAUUGAAAGAAAAUAUGUUGAGUGGUGAGAAUAUGAUGAAUUGGAAACCGAAAAUAAAGGUUGAUUAGAUAAUUUCAUUUAAAAAAUAUUUUGGCAAAAAAAAAAAACUAAGAAAAGGAUGUUAAAAGGAAAUUGGUGGGUUAUUUGAAAUAGUCCCAUCAAAAUAUGAUAUACAUAAUUUCUUAAGAAAGUUAAUUUUAGGAAAAAAAAUUAUUAACAUGAUCUAAGUUGCCAAAUUAUUUGUGAUAUUUUUUUGAGAUAAAAAUUUAUGAUGUGUAAUACUACUCUUUUUUUUGCUGCGUUUACUUUUUAGAUUGGAGUGAGAAUCCUGAGGAGUGGGAAUCCUUGGAUUAGGAGUGUGGAGUGGGAGUGGGAGUAGGGUGUUUACUUAGGCUAAAUAAAAGUAUGGAUUGUCAAUCAGAAUCCUAAUUAUUUGUUUACUUUGUCUUGGAUUGGGAGUAAAUUGUUUUAAAUUACAAUUUUAUCCUUAUGUACAAAAUUAUAAUUUGUAAUUAAAAAAUUAAUAAAAAAUAUAUUUGGAAAAUAAAAUAAAUAUUUUAUUAUAUUUAUAAAUUAAUAAUAAUUACUAAUAUUCUUAAUUAUGUAAAUCAUAAUUUUUUAUUAAUUUUAAUUUAAAUUAUGUGAAUAAAAAUUAUUAAUAAUAGCAACACAAAUGAAAUAUUAUUAUUGAUAAUAUAGUACAAAAUUAAUAUUUUUUUAGAAUAAAAUAUUUGUUAUUAUUAAUUAAAUAAAUAAUUAAUAUUUAUUAAAAUUAAUGUUUAAUAUUAUUAAUUUAAAUAUAAUAUUUAUUUAUUUUUAUUUUAUUAAAUUUAAUAAAAUAAAUAUGAUAUAAUUAUUAUUUUUAAUAAAUAUGAUAUUAUUUAUUUUAUUAAAUAUGAUAUUAUUUAUUUUAUUAAAUAUGAUAUUAUUUAUUUUAUUAAAUAUGAUAUUAUUUUAUUUUAUUAAAUAUGAUAUUAUUUAUUUUAUUAAAUAUUAUUUAUUUAUUUAUUUUUAUAAGGAUAAAAUGGGAAGAGGGGGGAGUGGAUUCCCACUCCCACCUCCCCCCAUGGGAGUGGGAAUCCCACUCCCCACUCUAAAAUUGGGUGGGACCCACGGAUUCUCACUCCCACUCCCCUUUUUUAAUGUAAGUAAACACUGGAGUGGGAGGAACCCACACUCCACACUCCCACUCCAGAAAGUAAACAAUACCUUAAUUGAAAAAUGAUUGAUGACAUAUCCAUAGCUAUUUGUUUACUUCAUUUUUAUGAUAAUGUAAUUGUAGAAGAAUUACUCAUCUUCGUAUUUUACAUAUGCUUAAAAUUAAAUAAAAUUCUCUAUAAAUUAUUAUAUCUCUUAUUUAUUUUAUUUCUUUCUCUUGUUAUAUUGCUAGGCUCCAAGUUGAAAACUAAUUUAACAAAAUUUUUAUUUCUUAAUAAUUUUUUUUUUAACUUCUUUUCAAUAAUUAUGGAAUUAAAUUUCUAACCGUUUUGUUAGCGGUUUGGAGAAACCCGAAAUGGAAAAAUCCCUUGAACCGUCCGGUCCAAUUCCAUCACACCGAACCGACGUCGUUCCAUCAACACGCCCACAAACCGAAUUGCACUUCAAAGGUUCAACAGCUUUGUUCCCCCAAUCUCACUCUUUCUUCGAAACGGCUACUUUGUUUCAAUUCAAUAAAACAAUCAACAAAUCAAGCCAAUAAUUUAUGCAAAUAAAGAACAAAUGGAGACUCAUUUCACUCACAGUUACUUCGAAAGACGACCAAUUGUCAAAUCCAAGACUCCGGCUGUUAAAUGGUUCAGAGAAUGGUAAUUUUGGCCAAAUUAGCCAAUUCCCUUUUCUUAAUUCUUUCAAGUUUCCUAUUUUUUAAUUCAAGUUUCAAUUUUUAUUUUUUCAAUGCGAAGCAAUUUUCUUAUUUUCUUAUUUAUUUAUUAUUAUUAUUUUCCUUGAAGGGUGCCCCAAGAUAUUGCGGCUACUGGUGGGAAGUGCCAGAUUUUGAGGUGGGUAAAUGCUAAGUGAUUUUUAUACAUUCUUAUGCUAACAAAAAACAUUUUGGUUGAAUUUAAAUUUAAAUUUUAAAUUUUUUUGGUUUUUUUAUAUGUUGUUAUUUGUUAAUAACUGUUGUUUGAUUCAACUUGUAUGAAAGUUAAAUAAGUUAGUGUGUGGUGAAGAAAUAAAUGAAAACUAAGUUGAAGAAACAAAUGGAAACUAAGUUGAACAGCAUUUAGAGUACCUAAUUUAAAUGCUUCUUCUUCUUUGCUUUGAAUGGGAAAUUCUGAGAAUUUUGUAUGUUUGCAAAUUUUGUUGCAAUUAGAACUUAUUGGGCUAUGGUCACAAAGUCUCCAUAGGCUAUUCUAGUCCAAAGAGGUGGAAUUGGGAUUUCUUUUGUUAUUUUCAUUUUUUUGGGUGCUUAAGGAAUUCGAUAUCUUUGAGGAUCAGUUUGUUGUGAAUUGGAUGAGAUUAAUAUUCAAGAUUAUGAAUGGAGAAGAUGAUACAAUUUGUCCUUUUAAACAUGCCAUUAGAACAUUAGUUUUUUUUUAAAAAAUAAAUAAAGUGUAUUUUUUCAUUUUAUUUGGAAGUUUAAAUGAUUGUAGGGUUUUCCAUAUUUUUGCUUUGCUGCUUUUGUGUGAAUACCAUGUAACUCUAUGAGCAACAUUGUUUUAAGGUAGCAUGCUGUAUUUGAUGAGUAUAUCUUGCUAGCUAGUGGUUAUCAGUUCUUUCUGUUAUCUGUUGUUAAGCUUUCACACUAUUUUGUCGGUUGUAGAUUCUCAUUUGCAUUUUUGUUUCUUUCUGUGAGUAGUGCACUACAUCUGAUGUGCUAAUGGUCUUUCAACUUGCUUUUGAUUCAAUAAUGGAAGCUUUGGCAUUUAAAUUUCCAUAGUUUCCAUUAGAUUCAGGGGAGCCAUGUCAGAGUUUUGUAAGAGGAGAAAUCUUUAGAUGGCUUUGUGUCAAAAUUUACUUUUAAGGAAUUCUCAUUUUCAUUUAUUCCCAACAUUUUAUGUCCUCCGUCCGUUUGUGUUCAGAGAAAACGUUGAAGGCCUUAAAGGAGAAGGCAAAAGAGCCAGAGGCACCAGAGCCGGAGCCAGAACCUACCACUGAAGUUCUAUUUCUAUGCAGCUAUGAAGGCUGUGGGAAGACAUUUAUCGAUGCUGCCUCUUUGAGAAAGCAUGCUCACAUUCAUGGAGAGAGACAAUAUCAGUGUCACUAUGAAGGAUGUGGAAAGGUAAGACAUGACGCAUUUAAUGUAGUUUUUAAUAUUUCAUUCAUGAUUUCUUUAGACUGCUUAAAAUCAUGAGAUUCAUCAUACUUCUUGAGGUUUAAAAUAUGAUAAUAGUUUAAAAAAGAAAAGGAAACUAUUAUAUGUAUGCGUAGAGACAAGCUGUUGUGUCUGAUCUUGGACAUACUAUCCAACAUGGCCUCUCUAAAAAUUGUGGGAUGUUGGAUUAAACAAAGUGAGGAAUUUGGGUUUGUGGCUGAGGGCGGGAGUGUUUCUGAGUUGUAAAAAUUUGGGGAACUUCAUGUGUAUGAAAGCAAUUUGCAUCGAUGAUUUGAGUGGGGAAGCAAAGGUACUAUUGAGAAUCAGGUGCUAUCACCAAACAUUUUUUCUUUUGGUGGGUCUUUUUGUGCGGCUAGUUCAAACCCUCUGGUUAAAUAAGAUCUGUCAGUCUGGUUUGGGACUGAAGGUGGUCCAGCCUUGUUCAUAUACAGUCUUUUGUAAACAAUCCUCAAAUUGUUUUCUUGGUAUAUUUAUGUUAUGUUAAAGGCUAAGCCUCAUCACUUUUUUUAUUUCUCUUUUUCUUGAAUUUUUUUUUAAUUGAUGUCGUUCUUUCAGGCAUAUAAAAAAUGGUUUUUGAAGUAAUUUUGUACUUUUUGAUGCAGAAAUUUUUGGAUAGUUCGAAGUUAAAAAGACACUUUCUUAUUCAUACUGGAGAAAGAGAUUACGUAUGUCCUCAUGAAGGCUGUGGUAAGGUGAAGAAUCUAUCCAUCCUAAAGCAUUUUGUCAAAACUUUGCGGAGGCUACCUUAUCUUUUUCUUUUUUCUUAUUGCUGACAUUAUCAUAAGAUAUGAGAAAUAUUAUACAUUUGUUUUCUGCCUGAAACAUUUCUAUUUGAUGAUUGAUUCCAUUGUCUUAUGGUCCCUUGCCCACAAUUUUAAAAUUUUAGGUCAUUUGGUAAAUAAUAUUAAUACCUUGGAUGUUUAAUAAUAUUUUGAAAAGAGAAGUACAGUUUGUUGUACCCUGUGAUUGCUGAGGACAUCAUGGGUUUUAGUAAGCAAGAUUCUGUGAGACGCUUUGAUUGCCAUACAAUAUUAAGUGUCAUGUAUCCAAUCCAGGGGGACCCAAUGAUGUUGAAGUCUCAGGCUGGCAAGUGGAGGAUCAUGGAGUUCAGUCUUGAGAAUUGCCACUAUGCAAAAGCCACUUAGGGGUAUUAGUGUAUUUGGAAUCCCCCUAUAACCUUGUUUUAUUUGGACCGACUCUCUGUGAAGACCUCUCCCAUUAUUAUUGAGAAUGAAUGUUCGGUACUUAAUAUCAGGGUUGGUUGUAUUGUAACUUGGAUGGAUCAAAUAUGAGAGACUCAUGUUUUUUCAUCAUCUUGUAAAGGGCAUAGUGCUAAUCUUACCUUGAGGUUGCCGUUUUGGCUUAAGAUGUUACUUUAUUGUACAUUUCUGUAUGUGCACACACUUGUACUUGUACCCAGCAUUUGUGGUGUUCCUAAUUACAAAUAUGAAAUAUGCAGGCAUUCUCUUUGGACUUCAACCUGAGAUCACACAUGAAAACACAUUCACAAGAAAAUUAUCACAUCUGCCCAUACCCAGAUUGUGGAAAGAGAUAUGCUCAUGAGUACAAGUUAAAGAAUCAUAUUGCAUCUCACCACGAAAAGGUUGGUGCUAUUUCCUUGCUGUUACUAUUUUGCAGUGCCAACGCCUUUUUAGUAUUUUUCUAUGCUAUUUUAGAUAUUUUUCCUGCUUUUUUUGUUGCAUUUUAAGUUAAUUCCUUUCAUAGAACAUAUCUUAUGUAGUUUAUGAUGUGUAAAGCAACAUGACUUCGGUUUCAUCUCAGAUUAUAUUAGUCAUCUGUCAAAAGGAAUUUUACUUAUUUCUUUUCUAAAGAUAUCCUUCAAGUCUGUUAACAAUGGCAACAUAUGAAUGUUUGUGUUCUAGUGGAAUUGUAUUCAUUUCACCUUUAGUAUGGCCAUAGUACAAAUGGUUAUUAUUAUCACUGAAAGAUGUAGUACAGAAACCAUCUGCUAUUUUUCUUAAAACUCUUAAGAUCAUCCCAUGUGUCGCUGGUUGACUUCACUGUAGAUCUAGAAUGGUUAUCAUAAUUAUGUUCUUUUUAUUUUUUUAAUUUUAUUUGAUAUACAUAGGACAUCAAAAUACCAUUCUGCCAACAUGAAUUUCAGAAAUUGAUUGCCAUGAAGCAAAGAUCGUCUGUAUAUAUUUUUUCUCUCAAAACUCGUAUAUCAUAUCUGAUUCUUAGUUUCGAGAUUUGAUUUCUCAGAAUGCUGCAGUGGAGGUGCCCAGAUACGCUACUCCUCCCGAGAGGAUAACAAAAACUCCCAAGCCACCUGCUGGGGUUUAUGGUUCUGCAUCAUCUGAACGUCCUUAUGCAUGUCCUUAUGAAGGGUGUGAAAAGGCAUAUAUCCAUGAAUACAAGCUUAAACUCCAUCUGAAGCGGGAGCAUCCUGGCCAUAUGUCUGAUGAAAAUGCCGAGAAUGCCACAACUAAUGCUGAUAAUGAGAUGGAUGAAGGCAGUGACCAAGAUGCCUAUGCUGGAAAACGUGUUAAUGGUAAAAGUCAAAAACAAAGCCGGGCGAAGCCAAACUUGAAGAUGCCUCCUGCAAAAGUAACGCAACGCAAAAGCUCAACUCCAUCUCCUGCCACCUUGAAUGUAGUGAGAAAGCAACAAUGGACUCCUAAAGAAGAAGUUUACGAGGAAGAAGAUAGUGAAGAAACUGAGGAAGAUCGUGACAAUGUUGAGGAUGGAUUUAGGUACGGGGAAAAUAAUGAAGAUGAUGAUGAGGAGACUGAGUACGAAGACUGAAGCAUAUAAAAAUGUUUCCUUCACCCUUCUGGUAAGGGCACCUUGUAUGUAUCUAACCCUUACAAACAGGUUCUCUGUCAUCUUUUAUCUGCUUGCUUUCAGCAUCUUUUUUUCUCUCAUUGCAGCAUAUAAAUAAAGUUAAAAAUUUUUAAUUUUAAAAUAUUGGUGAUUCGCUAAAGAAUUUCAUAUGACGAAUUUGUGAAUUUUUCAUCUUGGGAUAAACACAAAGCUGAUGCAAUCAACUCAUCAUGCCAAAAUUUAUGCACCUGAGCCGCAUAAGAGACUUGACUGGUAAGUUUGACAAAAUUUCAAUCGUUAUAUCAUCAGAACAUAAAUGAUUUGAAAGAGAGGGGAGACCACAACAUGAAUAAGUUAAUCAGUUAGUGUCAUAAAGAGAGAUUUGGAUUCAUUAAUUGUUUACUUUUGUGCUGGCUCUAACAAAGCUUUGAUCAUAAAUUGGCAAUCCAUUUGGAAAUAAUUUUCAACCUCCAACCUAUAGCCCAUCAAUCACCCACUUGUAAUUUCCCGGGCAAGUAGAGCGUAAACCAUUUUACCAAGCAAUGCAUGUAGAACUUAAAUCUAAGAUAUGCCAUGAAAAUUGGAAAAAUUAGGAUAAUUCAUCUUCUCUCUUUUUAAUAUUCUUUUAUUUAAAAAAAAAUGGAUAGGGAUAGAAAUUUCACCCACCACACACUAAUCCUUGAUCCCAAAUCUACUUGUAUUAAUGUUUAUAAUUAAUUUCUUCUAUUUAAUACUUGUCAAUAAGGCCACAUAGGUAAGUGCUAUAAGAUUUCGUGCAUUGGAACCCAUGGUUAUGGACCUGAAUCCAUUAGUAUGGAUCAUUUUCUUUUCCAAUUGAAAUCCAUUAGUAUAUGGAAGAGUGAAAAAGUACUUUCGUUGUUCUGGAAUAAAAAGUCUUCGUAUCUUAAUGCAUAUAUUUAAUGUAUUCGGGACUAUUAGAACUUAUUACUCAAACUUAAGUUAUUGUAAUUGCAAUAAAUAUUCAUGGCUGGUUGAGCUACACCCAAGAGGCUCUUUAUCCUCUCAUUAUAUUGUCAUUAGACUCUCUUUGUAAAUAAAAACAUCAUCCGGAUCGGUAAUUUAGAGAUCCCUAAUUUCUUAUGUAUGAAUUCAACAUAUAUAGAUUUUUAAAUAAAUGCGCCAUUCUUCCACAAUCCAUAAUGUCUAGGAAUACUGAAGAAAGGUCCAAUACUAAAUAGCGAUCCAUUUGACGAUCACAUAUUUCUUCAACUAUUUCUUCUGGAUGUGUACACUUGAUCAUUCGACAGCUUACCGUACUUUCUCAUCCCACGAGUCUUGUACCAAUAAUCAACUUAAAAGAACCACUCGGCUCAGCCCGAGUGGCCAGGGCUGCUGCUCUCCAACUUGGAGGACAGUAGUUCGAACCCCAACAAAAGCAUUGUGGAGGUAUUUCUUUCCUCAAUUAAUUGAGUGAAGGUAGUCUUCUCCCUUACCCAUGAGUGAGGAGUAGACUUCCCUUGAAUAUUUGUGAGGGUUAAAAUUUGGGCAGAGCUCCAUUAACAUUGAUGUAAGUUGGUCUUAGUAAUAGUCUGAUUUGUAAAUAUCAAUUAUAAUCUUAUAUAAUAAGUUGUAAUCUGAGCAAUAGUCUCAUGUAAUAAAAAAAAAUAAUCAACUUAAAAGUCAUUGUAUAAUAUGCAAAAUAAACCAUCAUAUUAGUCCACGAAAUUGUCAAAACGUCUUAUAAUUUGGCUUUCAAUAUCUUCAUAUGAUAAAUUAACUUGUAAGCGUUUCAUCCUGGAAUAAAUACGAAGCUGAUGCAAUAAUUUCCUUACCAAAUUCCACAGAAUCAACGAAUGCAUUAAUAAAAAGACGAGUUUCAGCAUUGUUGUUCUGGAGAUGUGAGAUUCGAAUCCCCGCACAUGAGUAGCCUGGGAAUUGGAUUGCCGUUACCUAAAUUAACCCAAAAAAAAAAAGCUUAAUUUAUUCUUAUUUGAAUUCUUUUUCUAUCAAUUUAAAUCACAUAAGUAGAUAUUUUGACCGAGUGUUUUUCAAUUAAUAUGAUUUGGUUGGCUAUUCGAGUUCGAUUAUAGGAGAGGUAAGGAGCUAAAAUUUUAAUUUGAACUCAGCUACCCCUCUAUCUUUUUAAAAAUACAUAAAUAAAUUUAACAAUCGUUUAAAUUUACAUAAUUUAAUUAUCUUUUGUUUCUUUGCCGUAUCAGCUGCUAUAGCGAGCAUAAGUGCAGGUGGUCAACAGUGAACAGCAACACGGUUGCACACGGUGAAUAGUAACACGGUUUGAACAAUAACGGUUUGAAUAAUAAUGCGGUUUGAACAAUAACGCAGUUUAAACAGUAACACAAUUUGAACAGUGUUAUACGUUUGGUUAUAAAUAGAGAGGAGAGGUUAGAGCUUGAAUCAUCCCAAUUUUGAGAGCAAUUGCAAGUGAAACAAUUUGAGAGUUUUGAGAGAGCUUUUACUUGAGCGCUAGGAGGAUUCAAUUAGGUGUAUUGGAGUUGUGGGUAUUGAAAGUUUUUUUCCCACUUUUGUAGAAUUCUAAAAUUAUCUUCCAGUCUUUUUUCCGUGGACAUAGGAAUUACGCCGAAAUAAAUUAUUGUGUCAUUUUCUUUGCAUUUGUUUACAUCACAUUUAUAUUUCUCUAGAAAUUACAGUCUCUGUAAUAUUGGUAAUUGCUCAACCCUGUACUUCUGCAACAAGUCAAACAUUCAUAGAAAUAAAAUAUUAAAUUAAAUUGAGGGAAAAAAAAUUACAGUGAUUUAUUCUUGUUAUUUCAUCAUCCAUCCAACCGUGGACAACUCAAGGACUCGGCAACAAAGCUGUUGUAUUACCUGCGGUCUACCCAAGAAGAAAGCCCUCGUUUAGCGAAUGAGACUAUUUAAUCCACCAAAUUAAGUAGUCUUCAAACUUAAUUUCUCAAGAGGGGGAAAAAAACCUAUUAGUCAAGCGGGGAUCAAGGAUCCUCAUCCCACCCUGAAUUAAUUAUGAUGGGAUACGUACGAGGACGCCGAUCCCCUCCCCUCCCCUCACAACUACCAUCCUAAUAAUAACGAUUCUGGACACCUCGCAUGUCUUCCACCUCUUCCUCGUAUUCUCCAUAAUUUACUUGAUUGAAUGUUUUAAAUUUCCAUUUCGAUUGGCUUUUCAGUCUCGUUAGGACAUAUUCUUCGAUCCAGCAAUGCUACGGAACCUACCAAUAUUUUGAUCGCACCGAUACGUGGUUGAUCGUGAUCCGGCCUGUUCCCUCGCAUUGCAACAAAAUUAAACUUGUAGCUUUAGAAUCAACGCGUAGAAUGACCUCCAUUAGCAGAUAAUCAUUCAAGCAUUUAAGAAUUGGCCUAGUGCCGUCUCUGGCAUUUAAGAAUCAACGCAUACUUGAAUCGAUGAACAUGACACAAUAGUGAUAAAACAACUGUGAAAUAAUAAUAUGGUGUAAUAAUGUUAAGUAAGAAAUUAGGAAUUUUUUUUUUCUUGAACAACACUAUAACGGAACAUGAUCUUCUCCCGAUCUGAGUAUUACUGAGCUUUUAAUAAUCUUUUGCCAUGUGUCUUUUAGUGGUACUGUAUAGGUAAGAUUUAACUUCUUUAACUUUUUUAUUUAUUAACAACCAAUCAAUAAUUAAUUUAUUUGCUCAGGACAUGAUCAGAUCAGGAGAGAAUCAUGAUUACACUAUAACACCCUACGUUUUCACAAUCAUUUUGUCGCUGUUUUGUCACUGUUAGGACAAUUCUUCAUUUUUCCUGGCGUUUAUUGCUCAGUAUAUUUCUUUACUGUGUGAUUGUUUCCAUCUGAAUUAUUCCUUUAUUUCGUAAUGCAGCCUACAAGUUCAAAACUUUAACCAGGGUGAUAUAUGCUUGGAAAUAUUCCUCGCGUGGUGGGUUAUGUUGGCCUCUACCAUGUUUUCUGCCACCUUAUGCCUCAAAAAAUAUGUAUUUGACCUUCAACAGAGAUUUUGCCAGACCACAUCCAUUUCGUUAACCAAAGAUAUAUUGCUGCUUGGCUAGAAAAACAAAUUAAAUAGAGAAAACACAAUUCUAUAAUUAGAACUUAAUUAGAAGGAAGAAAUAAUUAACUAAUUAAUUGUAAUAUAUAUGAAAGAAGAUAAACUAGUAAGUGCUCGUGUCUAUGAUAAGGUGAGUACCUAAACACAUGAUAGAAUAAUUUUAUAACUCCUUGUAAAUUAUGGACUAAUAGGAUUAAGUGAACAGCGUCGCCUACUGAAUUAUUACAGACACAAAAAAUAUGUUUUAAUUUUGGAUCCUAAAUUUUGUUAAAGUUCGAAAAAAAAAAAUAAACUGUUUGGUUUAAUAAUGUAAAGAUUAUUAAUACUAUUAAUCUUUAAGAUCCGAAAGACCCAACACAUUGCUACAGAGCCCAAAUAAUAUCUCCCACGCAAUUGGAUAGUGAACUCCGCUGAGCAAUGCACGGAACAAAAUUUAUAGCUUGAGUAUCAACACAUAGUGUCACCUCCAUUAGGAGAGACUUGUUCAAGCAUUUAUAAAGUGGCGUAGUACCGUUUCUGGCGACUAUUGCGAGAGUAUAAUUCCCUUCAGAGAGACCGUCUCCAUCUGGAUUUAUGCCUGCAUCUCGAAAUGCGGCCUCCAAGUUCACAGCUUUAGCCAGCGUGAUAGCAGUUCGUGGCCUCUGCCGUGAUGCUUCCACUCCCUCUUCCAAAACUGUUCAUUUUCAUUUCGGGUAAGACUUGGCCAGAACUUGUUCAUCUCGGCAGCAAAAGAUUUAUUGCUUUCUAGCUACAAAGAAAGAGUAAAAAUUAAUUAAUAAAUGACCGUAGAAUAAUGUAUAGGAAAAACUAUAUAUAUAGCCCAUGGGAGUGAAGCAGGUACCAUGGCUGGUACAUUAAUAGUUUGAUUAUUGGUAUUUGUCGAGGACCUGCCGGAAGAAUUUACUGGCCAGAGGCCGUGUAGGACGAAUUUUGAUGGCUUUAUUCUGCAGGGCUCUGGCCUAUGAACCUGGCAGUACACAGGUGGCCAUGUCUGGACUAGAAAAUAUUGACGAAAAUCUUGUGCACCACCGGAGGCGAAUGCGAUGCAGGAAACUGAGAAAACAAAGAAGAUGAACGAGAAACUACUCUUCAUUUUGAUUAACAUUAAUUUGACAAUACUAAAAUGCAUAAGAGUAUAACUGACACAUAAAUAGAUAAUAUUAAGCAGUGGUAUGAUAAAAGGAAGAUGGGUGCAUGUACAAACUAAUUAAUGUCAUCAUAAAUAAUUUUAAUAAGGACCAUCCCCCCCUGCUUAAUUUGUUUUCUUUUUGUUUUGGGAUAAAUUGGUAAUUUUCACUUCAUUCCUUGACAGCUGUUGACCUAUUUUUUUUUCCCUCCCUAAACAAACUAAUUCCAUUGUAAAAACUGAAUCCUAAAAAUCAUCUGAAACACACAACUCCAAUUAUCAUUCGGACCAUAGAAUUUUCUCUUAUUUUGAGCAUCUCUUCCCAUAAUUAACUUGUGGUUCCCCUCUAUCGCAUUCUUCUAUUAUAAAGCAUUUUAGAUGUUACAUUAUAGAAUCAAAAUUACUGAUUAUAUUUACAAUCAGGAAGAGAUAAUAAUGUUGACAACCAAUAUCAAUUCUUUUCCCGAAGAUAUAACGAUUGAAAUUCUGUCAAGAUUGCCAGCUAAAUUUGUUUUGCGAUUCAGGUGCGUUUGCAAGUCCUGGCUUGAGUUAACUAAGAAACCUUCUUUCAUUUCCAAGCAUUUCCAAAACAAUAGUACAAGAACUCGUCUUUUCGUUGAUGCAUCUGUUAGUUCUGCGGUAUUUGGUAUGGGAAUCGUUACAUCAGCUUUGUACUUAUUCCAUGAUGAAAAACUUGCAAUUUAUCAUAUGAAGACAUUAAACCCCAAAUUCAUGAUAAAUUUGUGGGCUAUCAUGAUGGUUUAUUUUGCAUAAUGCAGAGUUCAACGAAUCGUCUAACUAUAUGGAAUCCAGCAACAAGAGAAUUUAGAAACCUUCCAAAUUAUAAAUAUUGUAAUUCUUCCAACCGUUUAAUACCUCCUAGUACUUUCAUCUGUCUUGAAUCUGAUCCCAUAAAUAAUGACUUUAAAUUGCUUUUCGUACACAACUUAUGGAAUGAGAAAAGGAAAAGGUAUGGUAAGGUGCCUAAUGUUCAAGUGUACGGAUUCAGAACAAAUAGUUGGAGAGAAGUACAUGGUCAUCAAUUGGAUCGUUAUUUUGUAUUAGACGGAGGUAAAUUUGGUACGUCCACAUACUUGAAGAAAGUUUGUUAUUGGUUGGUAAUCGCGGAUACUCGAGACCUAAAAGUGAUUCUUUCAUUUCACAUGGAUAAUGAGGUGUUCGAAGAAAUAAAAAUACCUCCACAUGUAAAUUAUUACUCGUCUAUAAGUUUAUAUGAAGACUCUCUCUCAAUUGUAAUUCCAGACGCAGAGCAGUGUUUUGAGAUAUGGGUGAUGAAUGACAAUAAGUGUUGGGCAAAACAUUUAACCCUUGGACCUUUCUUCAAUUUUCGAAUAAAUUUUGGAUUCUGGAAGAAUGAUGCUUUUUUUAUAGAAUCAAAUUCUAGGAUUUAUGGUGGUUGCCUUUUUUUACAUGAACAUCGUACGAAGGAAAUUAAGAAUCUCCAAGUCACAAAUCCCCAAUUUGUUGUCAUCUACAAAGAGAGUCUAAUGACUAUACAAUGAGAGGAAAAAUAUUGUAUGAUAAAUUGACCUAUAUUUCAUAAUUUCACAGAAUUUUUUAUUUUAUUUUUUUUGUUCAUCAUGAUCAAGAGCGCGUGGUAGAAAAUAUACGUGGAUGAUUGGUGAUUGGCCGGCUUUACAAUACCAAGGCCUCUGGCAAACUAUAAAUUAGGAUUUUACUUACGUAUUAUUAAAGAAAAAUUGUUUGGGGGUAAUAUAUAUGUAUUAUGUAAGAAUUUGUUGUUUAAUGUUGUCUUCCUUGCUUCUUCGAAUGAGAAAUAGGAGUCAACUUUUAACUACCAAAAAUCAAUAAUCAUUUAUAGCAGGAGUAGUGCUAUAUAUCCCAAAAAUUUUAUUUCAAAAAGCUAUCCUAAAGGACGUGGCAUUGAUCAAUUUUUUUGGUGAGAAGUAUACAAUUAAUUCACUUGGAUCUUAUAAAGAAUUACCAACCAAUUAAUGAAUAACAUAUUAUUUGAGAUGUACUUUAGGAUAAAAAAAUUGAGAUAUCUAUCAUUACUCUUUAUAAUAGUCUUUCAUAUAAAAUUUUGUUGUUUCUUAAAAUAAAUUAAAAUCAUAAAAAAUAUUAUACAAAGGAAAAUUAGCAGCAACAAGGUCUAAACACUCCUAAAAUCGCGACAAUGCAAUCAGGGCUGCAGUCCGAUCCUUAUAAUGAGAAUGUAUUGAGUCCUGUUUACAAUCAAAAUGAAUUACCUAAUGUCUCAAGCUAGGUCCACAUCUACAAUAUCGUUAAUCAACAACAAGUAUCUUGGAGAAUAACUUGGCUUUCACUCACACUUCAUCAAAGGGAUCUUUUCAUUUAGAGACCUAACAUUCACAAUUUCUUAUUGUUAAUAACUCCUAUUUCUCAUUUAGAGAAGCAGGAAAAACAACCUUUAAGCAAUAAAUUUUUACAUAACACAUAUUACCAAAAAAAAUUACUCUUUAAUAAUAAAUAAGUAAAAUCCUAAUUUACAGUUUGCCUAAGGCCUUGGUAUAACCAAUCAUCCACGUACAUUUUCCACUACAUACGCUCAAUCAUGAUGAACCAAAAAAAAAAAAGAAAAAAAUUCGGUGGAAUUAUGAAAUUUAGGUCAAUUUAUCAUUCAGUGUUUUCCUCCCAGUGUCUAUUAAUUUUUGGAGAUGAAAACGUGUUUUGGUUCUAUGAUUUGGAGAUCCCUAAUCUCUUUCUUACUAUGUUCAUAUAAAAGAAGGCCGCGUAGAAUAAGGCGACCACGAUUAAACCUAUAUUCUAAAGAAAGCACAUCAUUCUUACAUAAUCCAUGAUAUGUGGGAAUAUUGCAGAAAAGUCCGAAGGUUAAAUGUUUUGCCCAAUACUUAAUGUCAUUCAUCACCCAUCCCUCAAAACAAUUAUGUGUAUCUGGAAUUACAAUUGACAAAGAGUCUUUAUAGAAACAAAGCUCGGUGUAAUCAUUUACUCGUGGAGGUAUUUGUAUUUUGUAUUUCUUGAAACACCUCAUCAUCCACGUGAAAUGAUAGAAUCACUGUUUGGUCUCGAGAAUGUGAGAUUACCAACCAAUAACAAAUUGUCGUCAAGUACGUGUACUUGCCAAAUUCUCCAUUUAAUUAAAAAAUAACGAUCCAAAUAUUUACCUCCAACUACUCAUUCUCAAUGUGUACUCUUGACCAUUUGACACCUUACUAUACCUUUUUUUUUUUCUCAUGCCUUUAGUCGUGAACCAAAACCAACUUAAAGUCAUUUAUUAUGGGAUUAGAUUUAAAAAUGUUAGGAUUUUAGUUGUAAUUGGAGUCAAUCUUGUAUUUAGCUGGCAUAAUAUUCUUGUAAUAUUCUCUUUUCUAUUCUUGGUAUGUAAAUAAGUUAGUUUAGGAAGGUUGAUUGAUUGUAGGAAGUCUAGCUUGAUUUAUGGAGAACAGUAUAGAUGUAAUCUUGUAUAUAUAUGUAUAGGAUGGAAUGGCAGAGAAGCGAUUCUCACCACACCAAAAUUAGUUUGUUCAUGGUAUCAAUCAAAGGUGAGUGAUGAACAAGUGAGAAAUCAGAUUUCGCCAUAUUGCCUCCAAGUAAGUGAUAAUUGUUGAGUGUUAGAAAAUGUAUAUUUAUAAAGGAGAAAAUCGUCAUUUUACAUUUCAAGUCUUACUAACAUCCUUACUUUUAUGUAUUUACGCUUCUUGUGAUUUAAUUAUGUGUGUCUUAUUUUAAUUAAGUAUUUUAUGUAUUUUAGGGGCAUCAUGGUCAUUUCACAAUGAACGAGAGAUCAGACGGCAAAACAUACAUUACUUUUGAACUUAGGAUAGUCGAAAACCUAAAGAGGAGCAUAAAAGGAAAAAUGGUACUGUUCACAUGUACGAUACUGUCUACGUUACUGUUCACGACACUGCUCACAUAGACAGAUCGAUGAUGUGGCAUUGACUGAUGAGGUGUCACGAUCCUAUUGGACUAAAAUUUUUAUGUACUGUUUAUCGGUGACGUGGCAGCAUGUUAGUGGACCAAAAAUUACACAUACGGUACAUGCGUAUACAUAGGAUUAUUUUCAACCAAACUGCAUUACUGUUCAAACCGUGUCACUAUUCAAAUCGCGUGGUCAAACCGUGUCACUGUUGAUAACUCUAGGAAAUGAGAGUUAUUACAUCUAUUCUAGACUUGAAUAAAGGCCAUUUAGAAAGCAAAUAAUGUAUUUUGAUUACAUUUUGGCGAAUUUUUGCAUAAACAUUCAUUUUAGUUUAGUCUUAACAAGUUUUGCAUGAAUCAUAGUAAUUUGUGCUAAAAAUAGGUUUUAAAUUCAUAAAAGGAUGCGGAGACAUUAGAUGAAAAAGAGGAGGAAAGAAGAUGACCACAAAAGAAGGAAAGCACAAUCAGAAAUGACACAAGUGCCGUGGCGGAUGUUAGAGCAACCAAUGCUGCAGCAAUCUGGGAGAAACGCGGGAGAAAAUAUAGGCGCGGGUCAGCAAUUAAAUUACAAGCUGCAUGUUUCCUAAUUUAAACACAGGCACGCUCAUGGGUGUUGGUUCGGAAAACCUAAUUUGCAAGUAUAUAAAGGAGGCAUGCACCACAAAGAAUGGCCGAGUGGAAUAAGCAUUCAAAAACAAUUACAAAGGCAAGAAGAAGAUCAAGAGUAAGGAGGGUUGUUCGGCAUCAUUGAAGAGGAGGAUCCUUAAACUUUCAUCGUGCUCCACUCAUAUUAUCUUUCUUCCUUUGAUUUAUUGGAUGUAUUUUGCGAUCAGUAUAUUUAUGUUUAUUUUUCUCAUUCAAAACAUGAACUAAAUUUACUUGUAGUUGAUUAACAAAUAUCCACCCCUACUUAGCAUUUAGCAGUCAACGUUAUUUUGAGAAAAUAAUUGUUGUAAAAUUUUAGUUUCGAGACAAUAAGUCGUCCAUGUGCGUUUAUCAAUUGGGAAUCGGAAUUAAAAUAAGUUUUUUAUUUAACUUUUAGAAUUAGAGUUGGAAUAGGCUGUAUCCUCAUCAUUGGUAUGUCUACUUUGUCAAGGAUCAGAAUGAAUCAUUGCAAGUUAAUUACCAAAAUGUCUUUAGUUAAUUAUUAUCCUCAGUAUUAUUUCUAUUAUAACAGUAACAAUAACAAUGAUUAAAAAAAAUAGUAAUAACAACAACAAUAACAAUAAUAAUAUCUUAACCGGCACAUAGGCUUUAGAUAAAACAAUUGUUUAAUGUUUUGUAGACAAACAACUAGUUGUACCUAAGAGAAAGAAGUAGAUGACAUGUCUUCCGAUACUUUCAUAUAACUGACAUGUGUAAAUAAUAUGUGCCGGUGCAUAUGCUAGCUGACAUGUGGUUUAUUUUUUAAAAUGUAACCGACAUGUCAUAUAUUUCAUAUAUAAGACAAAGACAUGAUGUCUGUUUAUUUUCUUGACAAACAACACCUCAUCUUUAAUGUUGAAUUCCAAACGAUUUUAUUAAAAGUAAGAGAUUGUUUGUUUUUCAAUAGUUGCUUGAAUAAUAAUCCUUACAAUUGUAAUUGUAAAAAAAAGAAUAAAAAAAUAUGAGUGAUCACAACCUUUAAGUUCUAAUUUUGAGUCCCAACUACUAUGGGUCACUCAUCUAAUAGAUCAUGAAUUUCAUAAUUUAUAAAUUACAUAUUUAUCAUCUAAUAGAUAUGUUACUCAAUUUUAAGGUAACUAUAAUAAGAAUUCCAAUUACAACUGUGACUAUUGAUUACAAUUAAAGUUGUAAUUACGAUUAUGUAUAAUUUUUUAUUAAAAUUAUAUAAAAUAUGCUAUUUUAAUUAGUUAACUGGUAAGUACUAAACCCAAAUAACCAUUUAAUAGAUUUUCAUAUUCAAAUUUAUUGAUUUCUUAAAUUAAAAAAAGAAAACUACAUAAUUGAAACGACCCGCCCCGCAACCUCCCCCAGGGCGAGUCUAUCUAAACUCGUAAAAUCGAAUUAAUAACAAAUCUAUAAAAAUUUCGGCAGAGUCUCCCUUAUAAAUAAAACAUAUCCAACCCUGCAAUUGACAAAAUAACACUCCCGAAAUAAUUUAAUAACCAAACAUCCUCCAUAACCAACUUCUCAAACCAACUUCUCAAAUAUCACCAAAAUCAUCCGAAUAUUAAAAUACAACGAUUAUCCUUAAUAACAUAAAAUAAUAACACAAAUUUCGAAUAUAAUAAUAAAAUCCACGACUUCUAGCACCAUCACGUGACCACAAUAUCAAACUAACGUUCACUACUGGGUUGACUGAUGUACCUGUAAAUCUCCUGUGGGGGGAAAAAUAUAAUAAAAGAGGGGUGAGUAUAAAACUCAGUGAGCUCAGUGAGUGGAUAGUAGGUGCUGAUACUUUAAUAAAUUAUUCAAAAUCAUUUAAUCUUUCUCAAAUCUUUUCUUAAAUCAAUUUCAAUUUCGUAAAUCAAUUCUCAAAUCAAUUUCUCAAAAUAUCAUAAACUCAUUUAAUUCAAAUUGAAUAACUGCAAUAAUAAAUCUGCAUAAAAUCGAUGGAAUCACCAUACUCAUAUUAAAUACUGAAUACUAAAAACUGUCAUCAAACAAGUACCCAGGGGAUAAUCUGAUCAUAUCCGGGCUACAACGGCCAGGCAAUAACGCACUAUCUGGGUAACGUCACGCCCCGGAGCCACAACGGAUAGAUGGGGACGAUCUCAUCUCAUAUCUCAUAUCUCUUAUCUCAUAUAUCUGUACUGUGCAUGCAUAAGCCCCCAAAAGGCAAAAGCGCCCGAACACACGGCCCAAAGCCUCUAUGUGUGUCCCGACGGGCCCCAAAGGCCUCUAUCUCAUCUUAUCUGUAUCUCUUAUCUGUAUCUCUUUUUAUCUGUAUCUCUGUAUCUGGAGGGAAGGGUACUGUCUAAUGAUUUCAAAACUGAUAGUAAACAUAUGAUCCCAUCUGAAAUCUCAUUUUCUUUCUAUUCAACAUAUCUCAAGUCUGCUCAAUUCUAAUAUCAUGCUUUUACUCAAAAACGCUAAUAAAAUCAUAAAUCGAACUCAUUCUCAAUCAUAAUAAAUAUCAACACAUAAAUAAAAGUCAAUUCGCUGGAAAAUCAUUAAAUCAACGCAUUAAACAUUUAUUUCUCAAACAUACUGUACUAUAUAAGAAAAUCAGCAUAUACUAUGAAAAUAGGUUUUGUAUAUUCCACUCACAGUGAUGAUGUCUAGACUCAGUAUCAACAACGUCCGCGGGUAGAUUCUCGUUCGCGGAUGCGGAUCCUCCUAAUCACGGAAAACACCAUAAUUAUUCUCCGUAAAAACCAAUUAAUAUAAUAAAUCUCGAAACAAAUAUCUAUUAACGAUAAACUAGUCCCGCAUGUAUAAAAUUACCAAAAUGCCCCUAUAGGCCAAAAUUACCAAAAUACCCCAACAUCAAUAUUUUACCAACUUAUCCUCAAACUUCAUGAUUUUACCAAAUUAUCCUCAUAUUCGUUAAUACCCAUAUUGUCCUCAAUUCAGAUUACAUAAAUUAAUCACAUUGUCGGAAAUUACAAAAUUACCCUCAGGGCAUAAAAUUACCGAAAUGUCCACUGAUUACAUAAAAUUACAAAUUCACCCCAAAGUUUCAUGAAUUUACCGAAUUGCCCCUGCCGGUCAACGGUGACCGGACUUCAGUCAACGAUGACGGGGAGCUUAGGUCUGCUAGUUCCGGCCUCGAUGAAUCCAACGGUGGUGGCAGUGAGUCGCCACGCGCGCUACCGGCGGCGGAUCGAAGUUCCAAAGUUCCGCAAAUUUUCGGAGAUCAUUCGGCGAGUUCCGGGCGUCCCCGGCGGUCGUUGCUGGUCGGGAAAUGUUGCUGGGGAUGUGAGGAACCAGUUCCAAGUGGUGGCGCGUCACAACUCCGGCGGGAUCAACGGCAACGAAAACGGGUCGAAGCCGCGACUUUUCGAGCUCGAUCACCGGCGUUCUGGCCAGUUUCCGGCGACGAUAACAGCAGGGAUACGAUGGUCUGCUUCCAAGCUUCAGAUCGGUACCAAGCACGGCCGGUAAAGUGGCUGGAGUUGGGAGAAAUCGUCGGGUCAAUCCGCGGGUUACUGGGUCGGGUUCUCGGGUCAACGGGUCUGACUUCUCUCUCUAUCUUUCUCUCUCUUCUCGGGUUCUUUCUCUCUAAAAUGGAAAACCCGUUUCCCUCUUUCCAGUUAUACAAUUCUGCCCCUCUUUUUUUUUUUUUUUUUUUUUUUUUAAGCUUAAUACAAAUUAAGCGAAUUUCAGACCCGUUACGAAAAUAAAAUCCGACCAUCGGCGCGUAUAAUCGAGCUCAAUUUAUCCCAAUUAAACUAUAGUGACGAAAUUAAAAAUUAAUAGAGAAGAGGAAAAUAAAAAUCAGCACUUUAUUAAGAAAGUCCAAGUGCGUAUAUUACAAUAAUAUCAUAUGAAACAGAAAUCAAUGAUUGCCUUCUAUCUAUAAUGUUCUUCAAUUACAAAUGAACAACAUUAAUUCAUUAAUCUUGCAUUUAGUCAUAAUCAAAUGGGAAUUAGAUUGAUGGGUGGGGCACACUUGAGCUAUUUGAAUUUCUUCUGCACUAUUUCAUUUAAAAACAUGUAUUUAUAAGCAAUAUUUUAAAAUUUUAAAAUCUUAAAAUUAACUCAAUUAUGUCAUUCUCUAAUUUACGGUUGCAUUUUCUCCCUCAAAAUUGUCAGAUCCUACAAACUAAAUUUUCACUUUCACUCAAUGUUGGACAUUGAUUCUUAAUCUUUUUUAGUAAAUCAUAAUUACAUCUUCAGUUUGUUCCAAGGUUUUUAGUAAAUCUAAUUAUAUAUUACUUUUUCAUUUCAAAGAUAUCGAAGUAAAAAAAAUAAAAAAAAGAUAUCAAGGCAAAAAUAUUUUUUUAUGGUAAAAACACUUGAAACUUUCAAUUUGUGAUGGCCUAUGUAGAAUAUGUGGAUCUGGAUUUGCCCAUUUAUGAGAGACAAGCAUUAACAUUCGCUUGUAGGGGUGGCAAAACGAAAAAUCGAAUCGAAUCGAAUUUUAAACGAAUUGGGUCAAAAUUUUGUGGAUUCGGAUUUGAUUUGUUUAUUAAACGAAUUAAAAUCUCAGGAUUCAAAUUAGAUUCGUUUAUUAAACGAUUAUUUAGUUUAAUUCGUUUAAUAGAUUAAUAAAAGAAUUGAAUCAAAUUCAAAUUCAUUUAUUAUUAAUUUAUCCUAAUAAUAAAUGAAUCCAUAACUAAUCGAAUUGAAUAUGAAUUCGUUUACAAAAAUUAAAUAAAUAAUCCAAACCAUAAAAGUUUUCAUCUUAUUUAUAUAUUGUGUUAUUAUUAUUUAUAAUUACUAGAUUAACCUUCAAAUUUUAAAUUUUUUUUAUAAAUAUUUAAGAAUAAAUAAGUAAUUUAAUUAAACGAAUAAAUUGUAUUCGGUUCGUUUAUAACCCAUUUAUUAAAUGAAUACUAAACGAAUAAACGAAUCAAUGUCUUCAAACCUGAAUUCAAUUCGUUUAAUUAACGAAUCGAACUGAAUUCACCAAUUUAUAAACGAAUCAAAAUUUUCAAACCCAAACGCGUUUAAUUCGCUUCAAAUUGAAUCGAAUAAACGAAUCUUGGUCCAAAUUGCCGCCCCUAGUCGCUUGCAAGAGAACAUUGAAAGAAAAUAUGUUGAGUGGUGAGAAUAUGAUGAAUUGGAAACCGAAAAUAAAGGUUGAUUAGAUAAUUUCAUUUAAAAAAUUCGAUAUCUUUGAGGAUCAGUUUGUUGUGAAUUGGAUGAGAUUAAUAUUCAAGAUUAUGAAUGGAGAAGAUGAUACAAUUUAUCCUUUUAAACAUGCCAUUAGAAAAUUAGUUUUUUUUUUAAAAAUAAAUAAAGUGUAUUUUUUCAUUUUAUUUGGAAGUUUAAAUGAUUGUAGGGUUUUCCAUAUUUUUGCUUUGCUGCUUUUGUGUGAAUACCAUGUAACUCUAUGAGCAACAUUGUUUUAAGGUAGCAUGCUGUAUUUGAUGAGUAUAUCUUGCUAGCUAGUGGUUAUCAGUUCUUUCUGUUAUCUGUUGUUAAGCUUUCACACUAUUUUGUCGGUUGUACAUUCUCAUUUGCAUUUUUGUUUCUUUCUGUGAGUAGUGCACUACAUCUGAUGUGCUAAUGGUCUUUCAACUUGCUUUUGAUUCAAUAAUGGAAGCUUUGGCAUUUAAAUUUCCAUAGUUUCCAUUAGAUUCAGGGGAGCCAUGUCAGAGUUUUGUAAGAGGAGAAAUCUUUAGAUGGCUUUGUGUCAAAAUUUACUUUUAAGGAAUUCUCAUGUUCAUUUAUUCCCAACAUUUUAUGUCCUUCGUCCGUUUGUGUUCAGAGAAAACGUUGAAGGCCUUAAAGGAGAAGGCAAAAGAGCCAGAGGCACCAGAGCCGGAGCCAGAACCUACCACUGAAGUUCUAUUUCUAUGCAGCUAUGAAGGCUGUGGGAAGACAUUUAUUGAUGCUGCCUCUUUGAGAAAGCAUGCUCACAGUCAUGGAGAGAGACAAUAUCAGUGUCACUGGAAAGGUAAGACAUGACGUAUUUAAUGUAGUUUUUAAUAUUUCAUUCAUGAUUUCUUUAGACUGCUUAAAAUCAUGAGAUUCAUCAUACUUCUUGAGGUUUAAAAUAUGAUAAUAGUUUAAAAAAGAAAAGGAAACUAUUAUAUGUAUGCGUAGAGACAAGCUGUUGUGUCUGAUCUUGGACAUACUAUCCAACAUGGCCUCUCUAAAAAUUGUGGGAUGUUGGAUUAAACAAAGUGAGGAAUUUGGGUUUGUGGCCGAGGCCGGGAGUGUUUCUGAGUUGUAAAAAUUUGGGGAACUUCAUGUGUAUGAAAGCAAUUUGCAUCGAUGAUUUGAGUGGGGAAGCAAAGGUACUAUUGAGAAUCAGGUGCUAUCACCAAACAUUUUUUCUUUUGGUGGGUCUUUUUGUGCGGCUAGUUCAAACCCUCUGGUUAAAUAAGAUCUGUCAGUCUGGUUUGGGACUGAAGGUGGUCCAGCCUUGUUCAUGUACAGUCUUUUGUAAACAAUCCUCAAAUUGUUUUCUUGGUAUAUUUAUGUUAUGUUAAAGGCUAAGCCUCAUCACUUUUUUUAUUUCUCUUUUUCUUGAAUUUUUUUUUUAAUUGAUGUCGUUCUUUCAGGCAUAUAAAAAAUGGUUUUUGAAGUAAUUUUGUACUUUUUGAUGCAGAAAUUUUUGGAUAGUUCGAAGUUAAAAGACACUUUCUUAUUCAUACUGGAGAAAGAGAUUACGUAUGUCCUCAUGAAGGCUGUGGUAAGGUGAAGAAUCUAUCCAUCCUAAAGCAUUUUGUCAAAACUUUGCCGAGGCUACCUUAUCUUUUUCUUUUUUCUUAUUGCUGACAUUAUCAUAAGAUAUGAGAAAUAUUAUACAUUUGUUUUCUGCCUGAAACAUUUCUAUUUGAUGAUUGAUUCCAUUGUCUUAUGGUCCCUUGCCCACAAUUUUAAAAUUUUAGGUCAUUUGGUAAAUAAUAUUAAUACCUUGGAUGUUUAAUAAUAUUUUGAAAAGAGAAGUACAGUUUGUUGUACCCUGUGAUUGCUGAGGACAUCAUGGGUUUUAGUAAGCAAGAUUCUGUGAGACGCUUUGAUUGCCAUACAAUAUUAAGUGUCAUGUAUCCAAUCCAGGGGGACCCAAUGAUGUUGAAGUCUCAGGCUGGCACGUGGAGGAUCAUGGAGUUCAGUCUUGAGAAUUGCCACUAUGCAAAAGCCACUUAGGGGUAUUAGUGUAUUUGGAAUCCCCCUAUAACCUUGUUUUAUUUGGACCGACUCUCUGUGAAGACCUCUCCCAUUAUUAUUGAGAAUGAAUGUUCGGUACUUAAUAUCAGGGUUGGUUGUAUUGUAACUUGGAUGGAUCAAAUAUGAGAGACUCAUGUUUUUUCAUCAUCUUGUAAAGGGCAUAGUGCUAAUCUUACCUUGAGGUUGCCGUUUUGGCUUAAGAUGUUACUUUAUUGUACAUUUCUGUAUGUACACGCACUUGUACUUGUACCCAGCAUUUGUGGUGUUCCUAAUUACAAAUAUGAAAUAUGCAGGCGUUCUCUUUGGACUUCAACCUGAGAUCACACAUGAAAACACAUUCACAAGAAAAUUAUCACAUCUGCCCAUACCCAGAUUGUGGAAAGAGAUAUGCUCAUGAGUACAAGUUAAAGAAUCAUAUUGCAUCUCACCACGAAAAGGUUGGUGCUAUUUCCUUGCUGUUACUAUUUUGCAGUACCAACGCCUUUUUAGUAUUUUUCUUUGCUAUUUUAGAUAUUUUUCCUGCUUUUUUUGUUGCAUUUUAAGUUAAUUCCUUUCAUAGAACAUAUCUUAUAUAGUUUAUGACGUGUAAAGCAACAUGACUUCGGUUUCAUCUCAGAUUAUAUUAGUCAUCUGUCAAAAGGAAUUUUACUUAUUUCUUUUCUAAAGAUAUCCUUCAAGUCUGUUAACAAUGGCAACAUAUGAAUGUUUGUGUUCUAGUGGAAUUGUAUUCAUUUCACCUUUAGUAUGGUCAUAGUACAAAUGGUUAUUAUUAUCACUGAAAGAUGUAGUACAGAAACCAUCUGCUAUUUUUCUUAAAACUCUUAAGAUCAUCCCAUGUGUCGCUGGUUGACUUCACUGUAGAUCUAGAAUGGUUAUCAUAAUUAUGUUCUUUUUAUUUUUUUAAUUUUAUUUGAUAUACAUAGGACAUCAAAAUACCAUUCUGCCAACAUGAAUUUCAGAAAUUGAUUGCCAUGAAGCAAAGAUCGUCUGUAUAUAUUUUUUCUCUCAAAACUCGUAUAUCAUAUCUGAUUCUUAGUUUCGAGAUUUGAUUUCUCAGAAUGCUGCAGUGGAGGUGCCCAGAUACGCUACUCCUCCCGAGAGGAUAACAAAAACUCCCAAGCCACCUGCUGGGGUUUAUGGUUCUGCAUCAUCUGAACGUCCUUAUGCAUGUCCUUAUGAAGGGUGUGAAAAGGCAUAUAUCCAUGAAUACAAGCUUAAACUCCAUCUGAAGCGGGAGCAUCCUGGCCAUAUGUCUGAUGAAAAUGCCGAGAAUGCCACAACUAAUGCUAAUAAUGAGAUGGAUGAAGGCAGUGACCAAGAUGCCUAUGCUGGAAAACGUGUUAAUGGUAAAAGUCAAAAACAAAGCCGGGCGAAGCCAAACUUGAAGAUGCCUCCUGCAAAAGUAACGCAACGCAAAAGCUCAACUCCAUCUCCUGCCACCUUGAAUGUAGUGAGAAAGCAACAAUGGACUCCUAAAGAAGAAGUUUACGAGGAAGAAGAUAGUGAAGAAACUGAGGAAGAUCGUGACAAUGUUGAGGAUGGAUUUAGGUACGGGGAAAAUAAUGAAGAUGAUGAUGAGGAGACUGAGUACGAAGACUGAAGCAUAUAAAAAUGUUUCCUUCACCCUUCUGAUAAGGGCACCUUGUAUGUAUCUAACCCUUACAAACAGGUUCUCUGUCAUCUUUUAUCUGCUUGCUUUCAGCAUCUUUUUUUCUCUCAUUGCAGCAUAUAAAUAAAGUUAAAAAUUUUUAAUUUUAAAAUAUUGGUGAUUCGCUAAAGAAUUUCA
rnacentral:lncRNA from 1 species